UUGCUCACUUAGGCAGCACAAAUACUAACACUGGAAUGAUACAGAUAAGAUUUGCAUGGCCCCUCUGCAAGGAUGGUGUGCAUAUUCAUGAAGCAUUCCAUAUUUUU
rnacentral:snRNA from 1 species